UACGUAGGGUGCAAGCGUUGUCCGGAAUCAUUGGGCGUAAAGAGCGUGUAGGCGGCUCGAUUAGUCCGCUGUAAAAGUCCAGGGCUCAACCCUGGGAUGCCGGUGGAAACUGUCGGGCUAGAGUCCGGGAGAGGCGAGUGGAAUUCCUGGUGUAGCGGUGAAAUGCGCAGAUAUCAGGAGGAACACCAAUGGCGAAGGCAGCUCGCUGGAACGGUACUGACGCUGAGACGCGAAAGCGUGGGGAGCAAACGGG
rnacentral:rRNA from 1 species